rnacentral:rRNA from 1 species
GACGAACGCUGGCGGCGUGCUUAACACAUGCAAGUCGAACGAAGAGCGAUGGAAGCUUGCUUCUAUCAAUCUUAGUGGCGAACGGGUGAGUAACGCGUAAUCAACCUGCCCUUCAGAGGGGGACAACAGUUGGAAACGACUGCUAAUACCGCAUACGAUCUAAUCUCGGCAUCGAGGAUAGAUGAAAGGUGGCCUCUACAUGUAAGCUAUCACUGAAGGAGGGGAUUGCGUCUGAUUAGCUAGUUGGAGGGGUAACGGCCCACCAAGGCGAUGAUCGGUAGCCGGUCUGAGAGGAUGAACGGCCACAUUGGGACUGAGACACGGCCCAGACUCCUACGGGAGGCAGCAGUGGGGAAUCUUCCGCAAGAGACGAAAGUCUGACGGAGCAACGCCGCGUGAGUGAUGACGGCCUUCGGGUUGUAAAGCUCUGUUAAUCGGGACGAAAGGCCUUCUUGCGAAUAGGGAGAAGGAUUGACGGUACCGGAAUAGAAAGCCACGGCUAACUACGUG